rnacentral:rRNA from 1 species
AUGAACGCUAGCUACAGGCUUAACACAUGCAAGUCGAGGGGAAACGAUAUUGGAAGCUUGCUUCCGAUAGGCGUCGACCGGCGCACGGGUGAGUAACGCGUAUCCAACCUGCCCAUCACUUGGGGAUAACCUUGCGAAAGUAAGACUAAUACCCAAUGACGUCUCUAGAAGACAUCUGAAAGAGAUUAAAGAUUUAUCGGUGAUGGAUGGGGAUGCGUCUGAUUAGCUUGUUGGCGGGGUAACGGCCCACCAAGGCGACGAUCAGUAGGGGUUCUGAGAGGAAGGUCCCCCACAUUGGAACUGAGACACGGUCCAAACUCCUACGGGAGGCAGCAGUGAGGAAUAUUGGUCAAUGGGCGAGAGCCUGAACCAGCCAAGUAGCGUGCAGGAAGACGGCCCUAUGGGUUGUAAACUGCUUUUAUAAGGGAAUAAAGUGAGUCUCGUGAGACUUUUUGCAUGUACCUUAUGAAUAAGGACCGGCUAAUUCCGUGCCAGCAGCCGCGGUAAUACGGAAGGUCCGGGCGUUAUCCGGAUUUGUUGGGUUUAAAGGGAGCGUAGGCCGGAGAUUAAGCGUGUUGUGAAAUGUAGACGCUCAACGUCUGCACUGCAGCGCGAACUGGUUUCCUUGAGUACGCACAAAGUGGGCGGAAUUCGUGGUGUAGCGGUGAAAUGCUUAGAUAUCACGAAGAACUCCGAUUGCGAAGGCAGCUCACUGGAGCGCAACUGACGCUGAAGCUCGAAAGUGCGGGUAUCGAACAGGAUUAGAUACCCUGGUAGUCCACGCCGUAAACGAUGUCGACUUGGAGGUUGUGCCCUUGAGGCGUGGCUUCCGGAGCUAACGCGUUAAGUCGACCGCCUGGGGAGUACGGCCGCAAGGCUAAAACUCAAAGGAAUUGACGGGGGCCCGCACAAGCGGAGGAACAUGUGGUUUAAUUCGAUGAUACGCGAGGAACCUUACCCGGGCUUGAAUUGCAGAGGAAGGAUUUGGAGACAAUGACGCCCUUCGGGGUCUCUGUGAAGGUGCUGCAUGGUUGUCGUCAGCUCGUGCCGUGAGGUGUCGGCUUAAGUGCCAUAACGAGCGCAACCCCUCUCCUUAGUUGCCAUCAGGUGAAGCUGGGCACUCUGGGGACACUGCCACCGUAAGGUGUGAGGAAGGUGGGGAUGACGUCAAAUCAGCACGGCCCUUACGUCCGGGGCUACACACGUGUUACAAUGGCAGGUACAGAGAGACGGUUGUACGCAAGUACGAUCAAAUCCUUAAAGCCUGUCUCAGUUCGGACUGGGGUCUGCAACCCGACCCCACGAAGCUGGAUUCGCUAGUAAUCGCGCAUCAGCCAUGGCGCGGUGAAUACGUUCCCGGGCCUUGUACACACCGCCCGUCAAGCCAUGAAAGCCGGGGGCGCCUAAAGUCCGUGACCGUAAGGAGCGGCCUAGGGCGAAACUGGUAAUUGGGGCU